CCGCACUCUCUUUGAACCUGGGUUGUAUUCUUCCAUAACCUCACAGGCCAAGCAAGAGUGCUACACUAAAGACUUGUUGUAACUGGAGCUUCUCCGCAUUCCCUGCCAGAGUUGUUCUUUUAAAAGCAAGUCACAUCU
ensembl:snoRNA